rnacentral:tRNA from 1 species
UGUAGCUCAGUGGAAGAGCACUGGUCUUGCAUGCAUGAGGCCCUGGGUUCAAUCCUCAGCA